CAAUUGCAGCACUAGAGCGCAUUAUGCGGCAUAAUGCUCAAUGUUGAAUGUUCCAACUACAGCAACGCUUCGCACAAUCGAGCACUCUGAAAAGUAGGUACUGCUCUCGCGUGAUACUCGCAAUCGAUACCAACUCAGUGACAGACCUCAGUAAACCUUUAUUCUUGAAAAAAAUUGUAAAGCUUUCGUUUCGUCGUAGUUUCUUGGAAAUAAUCAAAGUUAAUUCAAACUGUGAUAAAAAAAUAAAUAUAAGUAUGAAUGAAGGAAUUUACUUUUGUAAACAUUGCAAUGGCUUGAUCGAAUCACCAUCAUGAACUUAGCGCACUCUGCUGAUGCAUUUGAAAACGAAUUCACGUUCCAAUUAAGCUUCAGCAUAAUUCGGCAUGGUGUGCCACUAUUCGCAUUAUGCUCUGUAAUUGGAAAACUACCAUAGAUACACGAAAUGGACAAAAUUUAACAGUUUACGCAACUCGUUUCUCGGAUCCCGCCAUGUUCAAUGAAGGCAAUGCAUGAAAUUGAAUGCAUUCAAUGCAUUCCGUUUAAGAGAACUUGCAAGCUCAUUUCAAAGUGGUAACGUGUGACAAAUAGUGGUAAAUAAAAUAAUUAUAAUUUAAAAA